GAGUGGCAACAUCCCAUUCCCUGUCACAGACCUGAAAAAUUCCAUUGAAAUAUUUUAUCUGAAGCAGAAUCUGACCUCAGGCAUACAAUAUCCUUUGUUCACAUUUCUCACUCUGCUCACCACUGAAGUGGUGAAUUUUAACACAAGAAGCUCAAGAAAGAUGUGCAAAAUAGGGUAUAGGGAUAUACAAAUCCUUAUUUUAUUAACACUGUAAAUUCUACUUCCUCAGAAUUUCCAAUUUUUCCCUGCCUAGCAGCAUAAAGACAGUUAAAGGGACUUUUGG
rnacentral:lncRNA from 1 species